rnacentral:lncRNA from 10 species
AUUGACUGCAUCUGUAAGGAUACCAAUCUGUAAGAAGAAUGUCUGGGAGAAAAACAUUGUAGAAAAAAAAGAAACAUUCUUUCUAUCAGUAAUAGAAGUACUAACAGUGUAUAUGAUGCCAUUUGCCCAAUUCUUAUACCAUACUAGCUCAAUACAUAUUUCUUGAAUGAAUCCAUGAAUGGAAGAUAUUGGAAAAAGGAUUCUGGAAAGGAUUUUCAGAAUCCUAUAAAGGAAAGGUAAAUACCCUGGACUUUACAAUUUUGCCUGUUUUUCUUUACGUUCUUGUUGUUUAUUACCUCAUGAGCUCUAUUUUACUUUUUGGUCUUUUCACAAAUAUGCAUGAAUCAUUCCUGAGACUACUUCUCUCUUGAUCCCUUGAUAAUAUACUUGUCUCUGAUACUCCUUUGUGUGAGGUACUGGGUUUGUACGUGCACAGAUACAUCACUCACCUCUUGCUAGUACUGUUCUGUAACAGAGAUGCCUGGUCUCUGGGAAGCAGGGUUCCUAGGCUCCCAUAAAAAUUUCUUCCUGUUUCAGCUCAGUCAAGGGGUAACACUGCAGAGAUUAGAGAACAAGAUGAGAGAAGCCAGUUAGUUUCCCUCUCCUUCUCAGUAGGGGAUAUGUUUCCGCAGUGAUUCCGUGGCCUGCAGGACAUGCUCUCUGUGCUUUCAUUUUCCAUAUAGUGACCCUAAUCCCAGACUGGCUCUUCUAAUGCCAUUUUCUCCAAUUAUCUUCUUUAAAGGAUUUGGGUACUAUUUUUGGAGUUUUAAAUUUAAAAAAUACUGAUAUGGAUGGGGGACAGGGAAGUGCCUGGUAGUGGAGGGUGUGGUUCUUGGUUAGGGCUCCACCCUUAUGCCUAUGCUUACUGACCUAGGUGAGGACAUGCACUUCUGUUUUCUUGCCCAAAUGGUGAGUACAUGCGCUUCUGUUUUUUUGCCCAAGUGUUGCAUUUUCCAAGACCACCCUGGCCUGCCAUACCCCCAUCCUGUGCUAUAAGAAACUCUGAGACUCUAGCAGGGAGAGUCAACAGCAGCUGGACAUCGAGUGGAACCAUCAGCAGAAGAAGUCACAGCAACUGGACCUUGAGAAGAUACCAGAGAAUGAAGAGCACAAGGACUGAGGCGGCACAACAUCCAUCGCAGAAGAACACAGAGUUCCUUGGGGCUGUGGGAGGAGAGUGCUGACCUGCCACAUUCCAAGGGAAAACCACCUUCUCACUUCAUCUCCCUUCUGGCUCUCCAUCCAUCUGCUGAGAACUACCACUCAAUUAAACCUUGCACUCAUUCUCCAAGCCCACGUGUGAGACAAUCCUUCAGGUACACCAAAGCAGGAAGCCCCGGGAUCCAGAAAGCCCUCUGUCUUUUCAGUAAGGCAGCCUACCUAAUUGAGCUAACACAAGCCACCUACACAUGGAGAAACUAAAUUAUCAGUGUGUAACACAUGCCCGCUGGGGAUUCAGGAGCUGUAAACAUUCACCCCUAGAUGCUGCUUGGGAUCGGAGCCCCACAACCUGUCCUAACUGCUCGCUCGGUGAUGGGAGAGCUCCUGCUGUUCGGUAAGAAACUGACGAGAAUUGCAAAAAAAAAAAAAGUGGAUGAUUGAAGGUUGUUUAGGGGCCAGCCUUUAUUUACUAAGACUGUAAAAUUUUCAGAGAGGACACACAACCUAUGAACUGUUGGAUGUGAAGAGAAGAGGCUGCCUCAAGGAUCAUCCUCUAUGUUUCUAGCUGGAAAUACAAGGUAUAUAGUGCUGUGAUUUCUGAAUAGUGGAAUGCUGUAGGGGGAAACAUGUUUGGAGGAUGAAAGAGAACAUAAUUAAAAUAAUCCCUACUAACCAGUAGAGAUGGGUUUCACCAUGUUGCCCAGGAUGGUCUCAAUCUCUUGACCUCGUGAUCCGCCCACCUUGGCCUCCCAAAGUCCUGGGAUUACAGGCGUGAGCCUCCACACCCGGCUAAAAUUUUACUUUUUUAUGAAAGCCUUUUAAACCUUAUUAACAGUAUUUUUCUGAUAUUAUAAAUUAUUCUCUAAUAUUUUCUUCUGGUAAUGUGGCAGCUUUGGUUUUUACAUGUAUUUUUAAAAUCAUCGUCC